AGAGUUUGAUCCUGGCUCAGGAUGAACGCUGGCGGCGUGCUUAACACAUGCAAGUCGAACGAACCUUCAGGUUAGUGGCGGACGGGUGAGUAACGCGUGGGAAUCUGCCCUCAGGAGGGGGAUAACGGCUGGAAACGGCCGCUAAUACCCCAUAUGCCGAGAGGUGAAAAGAAAUUCGCCUGAGGAUGAGCCCGCGUCUGAUUAACUAGUUGGUGGGGUAAGAGCUCACCAAGGCGACGAUCAGUAGCUGGUCUGAGAGGAUGAUCAGCCACACUGGGACUGAGACACGGCCCAGACUCCUACGGGAGGCAGCAGUGGGGAAUUUUCCGCAAUGGGCGAAAGCCUGACGGAGCAACGCCGCGUGAGGGAUGUAGGCCUCUGGGCUGUAAACCUCUUUUCUCAAGGAAGAAGACAUGACGGUACUUGAGGAAUAAGCCACGGCUAAUUCCGUGCCAGCAGCCGCGGUAAUACGGGAGUGGCAAGCGUUAUCCGGAAUUAUUGGGCGUAAAGCGUCCGCAGGCGGCCCUGUAAGUCUGUCGUUAAAGCGUGGAGCUUAACUCCAUUUAAGCGAUGGAAACUACAGGGCUUGAGUGUGGUAGGGGCAGAGGGAAUUCCCGGUGUAGCGGUGAAAUGCGUAGAUAUCGGGAAGAACACCAGUGGCGAAGGCGCUCUGCUGGGCCAUAACUGACGCUCAUGGACGAAAGCCAGGGGAGCGAAAGGGAUUAGAUACCCCUGUAGUCCUGGCCGUAAACGAUGAACACUAGGUGUCGGGGGAAUCGACCCCCUCGGUGUCGUAGCCAACGCGUUAAGUGUUCCGCCUGGGGAGUACGCACGCAAGUGUGAAACUCAAAGGAAUUGACGGGGGCCCGCACAAGCGGUGGAGUAUGUGGUUUAAUUCGAUGCAACGCGAAGAACCUUACCAGGGUUUGACAUCCUGCGAAUCCCUUGGAAACGAGGGAGUGCCUUCGGGAGCGCAGAGGCAGGUGGUGCAUGGCUGUCGUCAGCUCGUGUCGUGAGAUGUUGGGUUAAGUCCCGCAACGAGCGCAACCCACGUCUUUAGUUGCCAGCAUUCAGUUGGGCACUCUAGAGAGACCGCCGGUGAUAAACCGGAGGAAGGUGUGGAUGACGUCAAGUCAUCAUGCCCCUUACAUCCUGGGCUACACGCGUACUACAAUGCUACGGACAAAGGGCAGCAAGCUCGCGAGAGUUAGCAAAUCCCAUAAACCGUGGCUCAGUUCAGAUCGUAGGCUGCAACUCGCCUACGUGAAGGAGGAAUCGCUAGUAAUCGCAGGUCAGCAUACUGCGGUGAAUACGUUCCCGGGCCUUGUACACACCGCCCGUCACACCAUGGAAGUU
rnacentral:rRNA from 1 species